rnacentral:lncRNA from 1 species
GCUGUUUCGAUUUGGAAUAAAAUAUCUUUAGUUAAAUCACCCUAUCCAUAAAUAUUUAAAAGAUGUUUUAUUCAUGGCCACAAGAUAGACUUAUACCAUGAUAAUUCCUAGAAAUUCCUAUUAUUGUUGGGAACUUUAAUAUCGGGACCCCAUAUUACUUAAGUUGUUGUGGAAAGAAAGAUAGUAUGAAUAUGAGAACUUGAUUUCUCAUGCCUAGUCAUUUGGAGAAUUUUUACUUUUCAAAAAUCUUAAAAUGAUUAGCUAUACUUCUCCUCUGUAGCAAGAAUUAAUGUCCUACUAAAGCCAUGCAUGAUAGGUAUAAACUAGCUCAUAGGCUACUUGCUUUGUAUUGAGUUUUGUCAAACCUUAUUGACCUAUGUUGAGAGCAUUAUCAUGCUCCUAAGAUCAAGAUCACAUACACCCACAUAUAUCUGCCAUUCCUCCACUGGGAAUGCACACAAACAUGCCUUUUCAUCCACAAAAAUGUUUUACUCCUACACUGGGAGGAAACACAAAAAGAGCCUUUCUCAAUAUUUUCUGGUUAUAGAAGGAGGUAUGAGGCUAUGAAAAAUAAAAGUAUUCAAAAAAAGAGAGAAAAGAAAGAAGAGAAAAAGGACAAGUGUCCUAGAAAGAAAGAAGAAUAAAAGAUAGCCCAUACCAUCAUGUGCAAAGACCAUCAGUGCUUCAAAUAAAGAAAGACAUUUUUGAAAGAGCAAUGUAGAAUUAGGAUUAGCCACUAUAUAUUCCACACACAUGCACUUCUUGAUCUAUGAGUAUGCUAUUCCCCUCCAUGGAUCUGAGUUUUCAGCAAGAUAUGCAAGGUAAGUAGGCCAUUUCCUUGAAUAACCUUUAAACUCCAUAUAAGCCUGUAGAGUAAGGUAUAUAUGAUGCAUAUAACAUACAUGCUUUGGUGAGUUCCACAAAUACCACAUAUAAUGAGUGAUUUGAGUGUGCUACA